rnacentral:lncRNA from 1 species
AAAGAAACUUUUUAUCCCAGGAAAAAUUUUGAAGAGCUGGACCUUACCAAAUCUCAAAAGAGUGAAAAGAGCAUCCUAGAAGGGAGGAUAAAGCCAACAAUCUUUCGGAAACCGUUCUCCUAUCUACUGGGCAUUAUCUCAAGCAGCAAAUGGGCUGAACGAGGACAAACAUCAGUACAAGGGGC